rnacentral:rRNA from 1 species
UACGGAGGAUGCAAGCGUUAUCCGGAUUUAUUGGGUUUAAAGGGUGCGUAGGCGGGACUGUAAGUCAGGGGUGAAAUACUGCAGCUUAACUGUAGCAUUGCCUUUGAAACUGCCGUUCUUGAGUACAGUUGAGGUAGGCGGAAUGUGGUGUGUAGCAGUGAAAUGCAUAGAUAUACCACAGAACGCCGAUUGCGAAGGCAGCUUACUAAGCUGUUACUGACGCUGAGGCACGAAAGCGUGGGGAUCAAACAGGAUUA